rnacentral:rRNA from 1 species
CCUACGGGUGGCAGCAGUGAGGAAUAUUGGUCAAUGGACGAGAGUCUGAACCAGCCAAGUAGCGUGAAGGAUGACUGCCCUAUGGGUUGUAAACUUCUUUUAUAAAGGAAUAAAACGAGGCACGUGUGCCUCUUUGCAUGUACUUUAUGAAUAAGGAUCGGCUAACUCCGUGCCAGCAGCCGCGGUAAUACGGAGGAUCCGAGCGUUAUCCGGAUUUAUUGGGUUUAAAGGGAGCGUAGAUGGGUUGUUAAGUCAGUUGUGAAAGUUUGCGGCUCAACCGUAAAAUUGCAAUUGAUACUGGUAGUCUUGAGUACAGUUGAGGUAGGCGGAAUUCGUGGUGUAGCGGUGAAAUGCUUAGAUAUCACGAAGAACCCCGAUUGCGAAGGCAGCUUACUAAACUGUGACUGACAUUGAUGCUCGAAAGUGUGGGUAUCAAACAGGAUUAGAUACCCCUGUAGUC